GUGGGGAAUCUUCCGCAAUGGACGAAAGUCUGACGGAGCAACGCCGCGUGAGUGAAGAAGGUUUUCGGAUCGUAAAGCUCUUUCGUUAGGGACGAACGUGCUCUUUGUGAAUAAUGAGGAGUAAUGACGGUACCUAAAUAAGAAGCCACGGCUAACUACGUGCCAGCAGCCGCGGUAAUACGUAGGUGGCAAGCGUUGUCCGGAAUUAUUGGGCGUAAAGCGCGCGCAGGCGGGAUAUCAAGUCUGUCUUAAAAGUGCGAGGCUCAACCUCGUGAGGGGACAGAAACUGGUAUUCUUGAGUGUCGGAGAGGAAAGUGGAAUUCCAAGUGUAGCGGUGAAAUGCGUAGAGAUUUGGAAGAACACCAGUGGCGAAGGCGACUUUCUGGACGAAAACUGACGCUGAGGCGCGAAAGCCAGGGGAGCGAACGGGAUUAGAAACCCUUGUAGUCC
rnacentral:rRNA from 1 species